rnacentral:rRNA from 1 species
UUUUGGACAAUGGGGGAAACCCUGAUCCAGCCAUCCCGCGUGUAUGAUGAAGGCCUUNNNGUUGUNACGUACUUUUGGCAGAGNAGCNAAGGUAUCCCCUACUACGGGAUACUGCUUAUGCUCUCUGCAGAAUAAGCACCGGCCAACUACGUGCUAGCAGCCGCGGUAAUACGUAGGGUGCAAGCGUUAAUCGGAAUUACUGGGCGUAAACCGUGUGUAGGCGGUUCGGAAAGAAAGAUGUGAAAUACCAGGGCUCAACCUUGGAACUGCAUUUUUAACUGCCGAGCUAGAGUAUGUCAGAGGGGGGUAGAAUUCCACGUGUAGCAGUGAAAUGCGUAGAUAUGUGGAGGAAUACCGAUGGCGAAGGCAGCCCCCUGGGAUAAUACUGACGCUCAGACACGAAAGCGUGGGGAGCAAACAGG